rnacentral:tRNA from 1 species
AAUAAGAUGCCUGAUUAAAGGAUUAUUUUGAUAGAAUAAAUCAAGUAAAAUAUUUACUCUUAUUA